rnacentral:rRNA from 1 species
AGCAGUAGCCGCGGUAAUACGGAGGGUGCAAGCGUUAAUCGGAAUUACUGGGCGUAAAGCGCACGCAGGCGGUUUGUUAAGUCAGAUGUGAAAUCCCCGAGCUUAACUUGGGAACUGCAUUUGAAACUGGCAAGCUAGAGUACGGUAGAGGGGGAUGGAAUUCCGCGUGUAGCAGUGAAAUGCGUAGAUAUGCGGAGGAACACCGAUGGCGAAGGCAAUCCCCUGGACCUGUACUGACGCUCAUGCACGAAAGCGUGGGGAGCAAACAGGAUUAGAUACCCGCGUAGUCCCUGUCUCUUAUAC